rnacentral:lncRNA from 1 species
UCUUUUUUUUCUUUUGAGAUUUUACUUUUUCUUCCCUUCAAUCCUGUUUUCUCCAAUUUCGGAGUUUUUUUUUCAAUUUUUUUUUAAUCUUUGUAGUGUAAUUUUCAUCUCGCUUCCCCUACUUUCCAUUGAUUUGGGAGACAAAGUUGCAAAAUUUUCCUCCUGAAAGUGUUCUCUAAAGCCCAAUUUUAGUUACCUCUAUUCUUUUGAUUUUACUGGUGUUUUCUUUGAUUAAAUCUUUUUUUUAUUUGAUUUUAGUUCAUUUGACGAGGCAUUGUGUUUUGAUCUGUUUGAAAAGUCCCUUCCUUUUUUCUGAUAGGACAAUUUCCUGUUAUCUUCUUUUCCCUAAUCCCAAAUUUUUUAAUUUCCUUUUUAUUUUUUAUGGUAUUGGAAUUCUCCCUCGGUCGCCCCCUUUCUUAGCGCCGAUCCCAGUAGUUUCUAUUGUUUAAAUUCUCUAAUACCCUCUUCCUCCUCUGUUACCUUGGUUUUUGGCGGUUUUUUUUUUUUUAUUAAAGCUUAUAAUUGUUUUUCUAAUUUUAUUCAGUUCAUUUGAUGAGGCAUUAUGUUUAAUCCGUUGCUUUAAUCCGAUUUGCCACUUUGUUUUUUUUUUUUGGAUUUUCAGGAAUUAGAUCUUUCCCUCGCUUCCCCUUGAUCCGAGAGAAACCUCUUCCUUCACGCAGUUUUGAUAUGAAGAGAUUAUACUUACUUUAUUUUAUUCCUCCUCUCAUCCUCUCCCUCUCUCUUUUUUUGUUUUUGUUUUUAUUUUUGUUUUAUUUUGUAUUUUUUAUUCUAUUGUGCUCUCUUUCUCUCUGGUUGUUUUCUCCACCCGUCUUCUUUUGCUUUCCUCUUUUUCAAAGUACCCUUUUUUUUUAAUUAGCGUGGCUAUUAAUUCCUUGAAUUAUUCUAGUUCACAAGAUGAAAAUUUUGCCUUUACUCUUGUGUAAUUCUCCCCGAUUGCCACGUGUCACCUCCUGUUAUUUUACUCAGGCGAAGGGGUCACAUAUAUAGCAAGAGGGGGGGUGGGGGAUGAUGGAGAGGGAGACGAGAAAUCACUAUCAUACCCGGGGAUCUACUGGAGGAGUAGGCGGCGGAGUCGGUGGUUUCGGUUCGAAUCUCAACCACAAUCACAGCAUCAACGGUUACAAUGUGGUGGCGCCGCCGCUCGGGGAGGCGGAGCUGCCGCUGCAGUGGGGCAACCGGAAGCGGCUGAGGUGCGUCAAGGUCCACCGCAAGGACGAUUCUGCCGCCGCCGCCGCAGCCGCCGAUANGCGUCGUUCGGGCCGAUAAGGACUCCGCCAACCCCCUCCUCCGCCGCCCCUCCCCGCCGCAGCGCCGCAUCCUCAGGUACCCAGCUUACCUACCUCUUCCUUAAAUUCAAGAGUCAUUUGUAAUUAGUUUUCUUAACUUAGACCUAAUUAAAGUUUACCUUAAAUUGAAUAAUUCAAUUAAAAUAAUUUGAUUUGAUGAAGUUAGAAAUUUUAUUACUUGUUAAUACUAACUAACUAGGCCAAGUCAUUAAUUUUAAUAAAAUCGUCUUAAAUAUUAAAAAUUUUAGUGAAUAUUACUGGAAAAAAAAAUAAAGUAAAGGUGAAGGCUCCAUUUCAAAAAAGUUCCUUUUAUCUUAAUUAAUUGAUUCAGUUUAAUUAGGAGGAGGGGUUUGAGUAACCCCCAAGUUUGGGUAUUUGUUUGAACAUUAAAGAGAGAGAGAGAGAGAGAGAGAGAGAGAGAGAGAGAGAGACUCUAUACCGUUUGGUUCGGGUAUAAGCAAGAACUAGCUAUUACAGGAAUAGGUACAAGUAUUGGGAUAAGAAAAAUAGCGUUUGGAUGAAAAUUGGGUUGUUCCCGAGGAUAAGAAAAAUAUUAGAAAGUUUUAUAUAGAAAAUAGAGGUGUUGGUGGGGAUAACCGAGAACUACUAUUCUCGGGUAAAAAAUUAGCGUUUGGAUAUAAAGGGGGGGAUAAGGGCCUAUCCCUAUCCCUAUUCUCAAACCAAACGGUGCUUAACUUAAUAUAUAUAACUAUAAUAGUUGUGGAUGUGUGAAUGAAUUAGAUGCGUGGGAGGAGGGACAAGGGGAGGGGAUUCACGCGGGAGCUGUGGCGAUUGCUCUCACGUGCUCUGGUGUCAGAUGACUCAGAUCAUGUGAGAUGCAUGGUUUUAGGUUUGAUCCCAGUUUGAUCCAUCCUUGUUUCCUGCCUUGUCUGAUUAAUACGGUGCAUCAUAAUAAGCAUCAGAUGUGUGCAACCGUAUUUAGUGUUUAAACUCUGGAUGCCUAUUUGUUCCCAACAAAGCCGGAAAUUUGAGUCCUGUUCAUAAAAGCCCAUGUAAGGAUCAAACUCCCUGAAUCCUAUUCAGAAAUUUUAGUCCGACUCGAAUAAUAGUAAUCACCGUGCUAUCUGGUGUUUGUAGGCCGUUGCAUCGAUUCAAUUUCAGCAUCUUAUUUCUCUUCCUUGGUGAGUUCAGGGAUGGAAAUGUUCAAUGCACGACCUCUCAUGUAUCUUCUUUUUUUUUUCAAUUUUCUUUUUCAGUAAUUUCUAGCGGUUGCCUUCAUUCAUGUAAACCAUUAGGUGCGACUUGCCUUCGUGUUCCGUAGAUGCAGCCAGGUUGCCCUUUGAUGUUCUGAAUAUGCACUUCUUUAUUUGGACGGAGUAUAGCACUUCGAUUUUGUGUUCCGUUGGCCUGUUUGCUCUUCUUUCAAACAGCCAAUAUAUUCCCAGUCAUCGCUUGACUAACUUUAGGAUGUGGCCUCUUUACCUACAUGCUUAUUUGUUCUCUCUUUUAUCUUUUUUUCAUUCCUCAUUAAAAGAAAAAAUAACUGGAUAACUCAUUAUUUGCUAAUUCAUGUUUUAGGUAAACAUGAACUUAAAAGUUUUUUUUUUUUUUUUGUUUAAGAAAUAGAUAGUACGCUAUCCUCUUCGUUUAUUUAGAAAUAAACUUAACUAGAGAUAUGAAUCAAUUAGAAUUCGAACUUAGGUCCCUUUUGUCACUUGCUCUAGGAACGGUCGAUUAAAGUGUAAUAUUUUGACUGUGGUAGUAAAAGUGUACUAAGGUUGCUUAGAACAUAUGAGGCAGUGACGCAUGGGCGUCCUGAAUUUGUAGACCACAGAUCAGACUUUAAUAUUAGGUGAUGAAUGGGCGUUACACUGUAGAACUUUCGGUAGACCUGGACCAUGUAUGUGGGUGGGUAGACCGGUCGAGCGCAACCCCUUCGAUGGAGUAUCCUCAAGGGUGGGGAUAUUUUCAUAUUCUUAUCAUGGCAAUUCAGAUUCUUUGCGAGUUUGAACUGAUUCUGUGAAAUCAUUCAGUUACGUGUUCAAUUUACUAAAAUUUUUGUCGUAUUUUUAAUAGUCAUAAGUAUUUAUCACGAGAUAAAUGUAUGAAAAUUUUUAGCACAAUUUAGGUAUUGAAAAUGAUGGAGACAAAGUGACAAAGGAAAAAAAAAAUCAUUUUAUUUCUGGUCUCUUUUAUAUUUUAUGUCAAUUGCCACCCCUUUUCUGCACAAAGUAUAGAUCUAAGUACAAAAUAAACAUCAUUAACCGACAAUGGCAUCGGAUCCAUCUGAUCAAGACCAAAAUUCGGGUGUCCCUCUUUUAUUUCUCUUACUUUUUUUUUUAAUGUUUUUGAUAUUUGAAUGCAAAAACUUUUCUUUUCAGGUAAAAGGAAAAAAAAAGAAAAAGAAAAAGAAAAAGAAAAGGCACAAACUUUUAGUAGUAUACUUGUCCAAACUGCAGUGGUGUACAAGAUGUUGUAUUGUUUAGAGUCUCUAAUGCCACGUGUACGAAUAUGAUCAGCCUCUAGUAAAGUCCCGAUCAGAGGCGCACCCGGAUUAAACGAUGACGUGGCGCACAUCUGUAGACCGUACUGUAUUAUUGCGGUCCCUCGUGUUACACCACCUUAAUAAUACCUCUCUCCUUUUCCUCAAAAAAAAUAAUACCUCUCUCCCCCCUCUCUCUUUCUCUCUCUCUCUCAUCCGGUAAAUUUGUCGAAUCAAAAAAAAAAAAACACCAAAAAAAAAAAAAAAAAAAAAAAAAAAAAAAGGAAAAUUCGUAAUGUCAGAGGGCGCAAACCCUCGCUCCUCUCCGAGGAAAACGCGACAGCAUUUUAGGUACUCAUCAUCGAGAUCCAUCCAUUCUCCCUUUUUUUUUUUUCAUUGUUAUUAUUAUUAUUAUUAUUAUUAUUAUUAUUAUUUGUUGCAACAAAAAAUAUCCGCCCCAAUUAAUGCUCCUCCAACUCUACACGAUUAUUAAUUUCCCCACUAUUCACGAUCGAAAUGUACAAUUUAUACAAGAUAAAUUGGGUAGGUACACCGUAUCCUCGCCGAUCGCGUUAUCCCUCGGCUCAUCUGUGUCCAUCAUUGCAGGAAUUCGGAAUCGACGGCGAUGCGGGGGGCUCCGCAGCAUCAGCAGCUCCAGGGCAACGGUGGCGCGCGCCACGCCGCGUCGCCGCCGGAGGGGGAGAGGGCGGGGCCGGCGAAGGGCGGCGCCGCCGCGGCGGCGUCGUCGGAGGACAAGAAGGGGUCGUCGUCGGGGAGCGAGGGCGUGGUGUGGCCCAAAUUCGCGAUCGCCCUCACCAACAAGGAGAAGGAGGAGGAUUUCCUACUCUUCAAAGGAUCCAAGCUUCCCCAGCGACCCAAGAAGCGAGCCAAGCUCAUUCAGAGAACCAUCAACGUAUGUUGAUGAUCAUCAUCAAAUCAUCAUGAUCAUCGUGAUGAUCCUCCCCUCUCUGCAUUUAAUUUAAUUUAAUUUUUUUGAAAUUUAAUUAAUUACUCUUCAAUGAAAAGAUUAAUAAAAGUAUUUUUGGGGGAAUUUUUAUUUUUAUUUUUAAGUUGGGUGGGGUCUUUAUAAAAAAAAAAAACAAAAAAAGAAAAUUUCCAAGGGUGGGCUACUGGGUUGGAAUUUAUAGAAGGGGUAUGCAUUUGGUGGUGGUGUUACUUUACUUUAGUUAAAAGAAAGCGGAGAAAGGUGGGUGGGCCCCAUUUUCUGAGCCUUACAAAAAUGGGCUGUGUUAUUCUCCCACCUCCUUUUUUUUUUUUCCCCCUUUUUUUUAAAACAUUGUUUUUUCCGCGACAGGCCCACCGCACCCCACCACACACAUCGCUUUCUAUUCUUGACCCAAAUGGUUUGUGCAUUUAAUAUGAGGGAGGGUGGGUAGCUUGGAUUGGGUAGCUUAGAUUCGAUUAUAUUAGUAUUUUUCCUUUUCCUUUUCUUUUUUUUUUUUUGGGUAAGUUUAGCGUCUGUUGAGGCUAAUUUGUGCUUCUUUGAACUUUCCUCCUGCUGCGCAUUUCUUUUAUUGAUUUAUUACAUGUGAAGCGGAAAAAUCGCUUAUUACUUGCGAGGAAACUCAAUUGGAUAAGGAUGCAUCACGUGAUCAGGACUUUGUGUGUGCGCGUGCGCGCGCGUGCGUAUAUAUCGCAGGGGUUGCUCUUGUAACUCUAGCUGCAAAAACACGUUGUCUCCAAAGUCGCAAUUUAGCUGGUUCUGUCUUUUUCUGCGGGAGUUUUAGAAACCGUGAUUUUCUUGAAAAGAUUGUUGACAAAGCUAUUGAUUUUACGGCCUAAUUAUUAGGAUGAAGCAUUAGAUAGAUGAAUUGUUAUUGCAUUCAUUGUUGAAUGGGUAAAUUGCAAUUGCGCCUAAAAAUUUGGUUCCUGAAGAAAGUUUUCGUGGGGUUUCGGUUUGUGGUCCUUAAAUUUUACAAAGGUGUAUUAAGUCUCUACCAUUCCGCUCGAUGAGCCCAGAGAAUCAUUUAUUGCUUAUGCGUACAUGCAACUUUAUUCACCAUAUUUCUAGCCCUUCAUCUUGCGCAGAUUUAAAUAUCUAAAUAUUUAAGAUACUUAGAUAUUGUAGCACUUUCAGGUGUCCUUUCUCUAUUUGAAUGAGUCUUUCAUCUUUUUUUAAAUUUUUUUUCCUGAUUUUGCUCGUGUUUAUUUUAGGUUAUGUUCAUGAACUCUAUUCUUUUGUAUCAGCACUUGAGCUCACAAUCUUAAAUUUGUUAUUGCAGCUUGUGAGUCCCGGUGCAUGGUUAUGCGACCUAACUCUAGAAAGAUACGAAGUCCGCGAAAAGAAGAUUUCUAAAAAGGUUGGUUAGUUCGUUGCUUUUUGUUCGCUUUUGUUUUUUUUUCUCUAGUUCUUCUAAGCACUUGCAAAUAAACUUUUCAUUUUUCUGAACUUCCUAUUGUUCUUUUGGUUCGCGAAUUGGAAAAAUUUAUAGAGCGUUCAAAGGGACAUAAUAAAUUAAAAAAGUUCAUUCAAAAGUGCUUGCAAUUUCAUAUAUAGCAAGAUAACUAUGGCUAAAGCUAUGUUUUUGGGCUCUCUUGUGUUCUAAUUUUGCUUCACGCAUGCAGAAACCAAGGGGCUUAAAAGCCAUGCAGAAUAUGGAUAGCGAUUCGGAAUAGCGGGAAAGAAGGAUAUGAUGACAGACAAAACGAGUGCGAGACAAUAAAGCGGUGGUCGGGGUCGACAUGGCUGGCGGGGUGUUCUGUAAGAGAUUUGUUCUUGAGGUAGGGCACGCCAUUUUGUAUGUUACUGAGAGAGGGCGCGAGAGAGUUAGAGAGUUGUGAGUAUUCUCAUUAGUCCUGUAAGGUAGCUCGGCGCAAAAAGAUGAAAUAGAAAGAGUGCUUCAUGUAUGACCAUUAUCAAGUUUCUCAUAAAAUCAAUAGCUGCUUUUCUCUCUAUGAUUAUUUGUUUUCUUCUUUUUUCCCUCUUCUUUUCGCGGUCUCUGAUCGGUCAAAUUUCAAGUGUUCCAUGCAGAAGAUGCGGCGAGACCCACUGGCCCCUGCAUUGGCAUGUUCUCAAAUGGAAUAUAAAUUAAAUGCGCGGACGAAAUUACGGGGUUAAUUUGUGCAUUGGAAAAGUCUGACCAUUCUACAACUGAAAUAUGAAUCAGGAAUCCUUUUAAUAUACAGGUCUAUCCGAGUUUUUUUUUUUUCUUUUUUCUCUUUUCUUUUUUUUUUGGGUUUUUUGUGGAGAAGUGGUUGAUUUAUGGAAACUCUAAAGCAGAGGUUGCAUGUUAAGAUCCUUGCAGCUACUGCUUUUUCACAACACCUCUAUAGCUUCAAAUGCAUUUCAAGAUGUAAUUAGAAAGAGUUGUGGAGAAGUGCAUUUCAAAAAGAGUAUAUCUUAUAAUUUACAUCUUAGAAUUCAUAAUAAUUCAAAUAAAUUUUAAUUAGAAUGAGUUGAUGUGAUAAAUAAAAUAAUAAAAGUUCUUAGAUGAUUUUUUUUUUUUGAGAGAAAGGUAGCAUAUUAUCUAUUUCGUUUAUUUUUUUUUUAGAAAUAAAUUUAGUUGAUAAUGUGAAUCAAUUAGGAUUUGAACUUGGAUCUCGAAUACCAACAAUUUAUUUUGAAAUAUAUCAAUAGUAUUAUUCGGAUAGACAUAAUAAGAAAUUAUUAAUCUAUCAAAUCAGAUAAAAUCACUAACAAUUGAGCAUUUAUUGAAUGUCUAAUUUUUAAGAAGAGAAGACAAUACAGAUAGUAGCACAGCAGAUGUUAACACACGCCGACUACUAAAUUGAAAAUACGAGGCGGAUAAGAGCCAAAAUAUUUGUGUUGCAGUGGUGGAAGCAAUUACAAACAGUGGAUGAAUAGUAAAUAGUUAAAUGAAGCUGUUUUAAAUAGUACAAAACACUCAAGAUCAAUCUAACAUUUUGGGAACCGGAAAUUGAAGUUUAAAUAGGCGGCGCAAUUCACUAAUUAAAGUUUAAAAGAGAGAGAGAGAACUCCCGCAUAACUCUUCACGAGUACCGGUUACGCCUCGCGAUGAUCUAUAAAAAACCCAUACGCCCAUUUCCGCCAUGGAUUUCUCAAAGUAGAGAAAUAAGUAGAGCGUCUUCUUCUCCUCCUUUUCCUCUUCUAUAUAUUUUUGGACUCGGAUGCUCGGGAUUAGACGGAGAGGAGGAUCCACGGAAACUCAGCUAGGGUUUCUCAGGAAUUCGAAUCGAACGACAUUGUAAGGUACAAAUUGAGUUCGAUGCGCUUCUUUUUUGUUUCUUCAAGCGGUGAUUAUGGAUUCGAUUGCAUGUGCUUCUUAUUUCCCUUUUAAAUUCCCAAUUCUAGUGGUUUAACAUCUAAUUACUUGGUUCUCAGUGUAUUUUCCAUACAGUUCCAUCAAAUUAGGUAUUCUUUGGUCGUCAAUUUUGAUCAGGAACACAGCAUUAGGUCUCUGAUUUGUUCCUCUGUUUCGUAUUCUUCGUUAGUUUUUUAUCAAUCUUUAACUUCAACUUAGAAAAUGAAGCUCGAUUACUUACCGAAUUUUAAAUAUCCUAUCAAAACUUAUUCUGCCUUCCAAUUUUAAAUUGCAAUGGAUAGGAAAGUGUUGAAUGUGUGCAUAAGAGUAAAAUCCCCAACAAGAUGCAUGAAUGCUGCAUGUGCCGCGAAGUGCGUGUCCCCGUGUUGUUGGGUGACUCCUUAAGAUUCUUAAGGAGUAUCAUGAUAAGCUACAUGUUUGACAUUCAUUCAUGUUCUCCGUUAUUCUUGAGUUCGUUGGAACCUUAUAUAUUAUUGCAUUUUUUACCAAUGUCUCUUUCAGAGACAAACAUUUGAGCACACUAGGAGCAGGAUGAAGUAUAUCAAUUCUGACUUUAGUUGAUGCAUUAUCUAUCACCUUCUUAGAAUUUUGUAAGCCCACUUGCUUGUGGAUUGCUAUGAUGCCUACGUUGUUCAAUUUUCUAGUAUAGUCCUCUAAUGCCUCCCUAAUUUGACUCGGUUGAUAAAGAAAGUCUUGUCUUAUAGAACAUGAGUAUCUCAAACGAAUUUGACCUAGAAUGCCUAAUCACCAGUUCACGAUUAAUCAAUUCGAUAUUGGAGUCGACAUGGCUGGUUUGUCAUACUUGGAAGUACCUUACGUUAUGAUUAGUCAAUACCAUGGACAAAGAGGGCUGAGACGGGAGUAUUUUAUUGCUAUAGUGCUUAGUUGAUUCUAUUGGUGGCAGACUUUCUUACAUGCCAAUUAUUGUUAAUUUGUCGGUUUUUACAGUACCACCUCCCACACCAAAUAACACUCGAUAACUUGUUCGUUUUUGUUGAAUGGAGGUGUUAUCACGUGUCGUGUGUCGUCUAGUGGAAAUAAUAUAGACAAGUUUAAAUCUGUAAUAAGAGUUUUAUGCAGAAUCUUUGAAGAAGAAAAUCAAACUAAAUUACUAGGUGAUAAUCUAUUGCUUGUGGAUUGCUAUAAGGUUCGCCAACAUGUAUGCUUCAGGAUUAUUUAUGCUUUAUCUUGUAUUUUUCAUGCUUCCAAUUAGCUAUUGAGUCGCCUAAUCUAUCCUAUAACUUGUUAUCUCCUAGUCCUCGAUGGAUGUAUUGGCUCCGUAUUUCUCAUUGUAGGUAAAAGCAGCUACAAAUCUGAAGGAUCAAAGCCUUUCAUAUUUUUCCAGAUUUUGUUAUACUCUCGACAAAAAAAUCUUUUCAACUGAGGCAACAAUUUGAGGAGGUAAGGAACUGUGAAACAGAGUUAACAUUUUCAACAUGCAAUGUUAACUCUUAUAGCGUCUUUACAGUUCAAGCCUCAACGCUAAGUAGUUAGAUCAAUCUGGUUAUGUGUUGAAUUUUACCGCAGGAUCCAUGUAAGCAAGUAUGGUCUGCUAAAUUUGCUUUUACGCCUGGUCUACUACAUCUAUGUCAUUUAGGUUGCCACGUGUUAUUCAAAGCCUUGUCAACAACCAGUUAGAACCCAACAAAUUGUGCCGGUAUUUUAACGUUCUCCAAAAUCAACAUUUUCAUCAUCUGUUGGUAAUGAAAAACAGAACCACGUACCUUAUCACUUUUCCUUUGCAGUCUUUCUUUUGGAUUGCUAUCACCAGAUAAAUCACGUUCCCGCUUUUAAUUUCGUUGUCGGCGGGACAUUGUUUCAUUCUUUGCUUAUGUUUUAGUUAAUUGCGCAGUCCAUAUUCUAUGGUUGGUUCUGAUCACCUUAGUUUAGUAGAGUCGGUUUUUUUGAGUUAUACUAUCAAUUCUAGAGACUGAAUUCCUUAUGUAGGUGAUUGAUUGGUCUUUGUCCAUUUGCUUUUCUUUGUACUGUGCAUUUACUAUUUAAGUAAUCAUUAAUCACCUAUUUGACUUGUGGAGAUCACAAUUAAAGUCCUUGGACCCAGCUGGCUAACAUGAUUUAUCGGACAUUAGAGCCCUCCUUUCCAUCCUUUCCCUAUUUGAAAAUUUGGACUCAGAACAAAUCUACUUCCUAUUCAUAGUUGCGUCAGAGAUGAUAGAUGAUGAAGAGUUCGAUAAACAAAGGAUAAACAAAUAUUAGGCUGAAUAGCAAAUAGAUAUUUGGUAUUAUCGUGGUAAUAUUUUGAAUUUAGUUAUUUUUUCUUUUUUUUUAUGCCUUGGCUUGGCUCUCCAAGCAAAUCAGUUUGUUAUCUGUUUAAUCUUAUUUCUAAACCAGUUAGAUGUGGUAGAUUGUAUACAACUCCAUAGGCGGUCUUAUCUAAACGGAUGGAUGGUCAGGGUCUAUUAUUAGGAUUCAGGAGAGGUUCCUACUUCCUUGCUUCGCUUGAUUAUGACAGGCAUUAGGACACAUGCACCACAAGUCUUUGUGGAUAUGUAUGUAUAUAUUUAUUUAUUUAAAGUUGCACCACAUACCUGAUUGCCUAAUGGGAGUGGGCACUGGGCAGUGACUUUUGACGCUGAAGCUUUGUUUACUGCUUAGAAUAAAGCUUAACUACACUAUACAAUAAUUUAUAAUUUUUUUUAUUUUUUAUAUUUUUUUUGGAGCUUGUAGCAAAUAAAACUAAAUUAAUUAACUGCUGAUGACUAAUUAAGUAUUCCAUUUUUUUAAAAAAAAGUUAAUUAACAAGUCAUAAAACCAAAUUAAAAAUUUUGAAGGUUAAAGAGGUAUCAAUUUUAAAAAAAAAAGGUAAACUUCAAAUACCACCCCUGUCGCCAUUUUCUCGCUUUAGUACCAUGUGAUUUAAAAUAUAUCAAUGAAGUACUCUGUGGUUUCUUUUUUUUUUUUUUUUUUUUUUUUUCGUAUUACAACGUUUAUUGCUUAUUUCGAUUUUACUNGGGAAACAAAUCGGAUAACAUAGUAUAUAAAAAUAACACUAAAGUACUAUGCAGUAGAUUGCAAUUAAGCCAUAGAAUAACAAAAACUAUACUAUAUUAAGCUACCUAUUGUUUUUUUAGGAUUUUUUUCCCUUUUUUUAAUCCCUUUUGAGGGCAUUUUAAGCUCCCUACCUUAUGUUUCUACUUUUUCUUCAAACACAAGCAGCUCUUUCGUUUCUAAAAUGUAAAAAUUAAAUUAAAUUAAAUUUCUGCAAGUUUGGAGGUUUUACUCUAUCAGAUAGGAACAAAGUUUUAACUAUUAAGAAGAGAAGUACCUUUUAAGCUUUUAGUCUCUAGAUAUAGGCUUAGUUUGGUAUUGAGAUCUAUCUAACGCUAUUAGAUAAAAUGUAGUUGAAAAAAAAGCAUAUAGAGAUAUGCUUUUGCGUUUUUCCGUGGGACCGUAAAAUAUAUAUCGUAACAAAUUCAUCGCGAUAUGCGGGACGCAAUAUUACGUAUGGAAACAAACAGGAUAUUUCGCAAUCUUUUCGCAAUUCCAAAUGAAGCCUAAAUAUAGUGAAAAUUGUUGUAGAAACUGAAAAAAAAAAGAAAAGAAAAAAAGAUGGCUUAUACUUGUUAGCUAGCUCUGUAGAUCAAUACAUUCCAAAAUAGCCACUAGCCUUAGUCGAGCGUACAUCAGUAUCACCAAAUGGAAAACGACCGUACGAUUGGAAAUAUUCCUUCACAAAUCAAAUUUCAAAAAUUUGAAUUCAAAUAUCUACCUGCAGUUUCCCAAAGCCAGAAUAAUACGCAGCCAUGUGAUUCGUUUUUUCUUCUCUUUCUAAUCGGGCCUUAGAUGCCAAAGAUCCGCUCAUCGAGAGGAUCGCAUUUGGGUAUAAAGAAGCAUCAGGAAGGUGGAUUUAAAGUUAUCAACCGUGAUUUAUGAUAUGCUCAAAGCAUCGUCAGAAAUCAUUUUGAUAAAUAAAGGACGGUCAUCUUUUUCAGUCGCCUGCAUCCUCUCCUUAAAACAUCAAAAGCACGAAAGCGAUAGAUUCCCUCCUCCCCCCACUUUGAAAUGUUCUUCAAUUAAAUUAACACAUCACAUGUGUACCCCACCCACACUGUGUCGUGUCCGCACAUUAUUUAUUUUAUUAUUAUUACGUUAUAGCACGACGGGCUCAUCGGAGGGAAAAAUUUUAGAAUGCAACGGGUAUAUUAGUGACGUGGCGUAACAAACCAAUCAAAUUAAUCCUUUUAAGAAUAUAUGUCCCAUCAUGAUUGUAAAAAAAUAUUUGUAUUGUACUUUUGUUUGAAAAGAAGGAAUGUGAUUGGCUUGUUAUUGAUGAUGUGGUGCAAGUGUGACAGUGUAGAAUUCCUCCAUCGGAGGGACCUACCAACCAGCUACUCGCCCAUGCUUUAUCAGGUUGAAGCACUUUCCUAACUCAGCAAAUUUUUUUAAAAUUUUUUUAAUUUUCGGAGCAUGAGCACCUGUCAUUUUUAACUUUUUAAAUGUGCCUCACUUUCAUCUUUAUUGUGUUGCUGCUACAAGAUGAAUUAAUUAUUAUCUAACUCAGGCGCUUCCGUGCAUCUUAAUUUCCAUCUUUCUAGUGUUUUGAAUCAAAUCGUCCAAAGUUGUAAUCAAGGUAAAAAAAAAAAACUAGAUAGGCAAUGGAGAUUAAUGCGCCAAAUUGUGUGCCGCGCAUGUAUGUUCAAAUGCAUUGGGUAUAGAUCGAUAAUUUGCCUAAGAGUAAACAAAAGUGAAAAAAACUAAAACGUUUUCACAUGUAAUUUGACCGAAUGAACUUAAACUAAUACCUCAGUUUAAAUUAUGUAUAAAAAAAUGUGCACAUAGGGUGGGAUAUAGACUAAAAUUACCCAUUCCGGUGUCCUAUCCCUCCGAUCAUAAUCGGAGGGUGCCCAUCCUCAACCAACCGAGGCUUAUUACUGCAUCAACCCAACGACUACUACCCAAACUAAUCUCAAAACGACCCAGUAGAAAAAAAAAAUCCAAUCUACCACUUCUAAGUAACUACUAUACACUAAUACACCCCCCAACCUCAAAAAAUUAAAAAAUAAAAAAAAAACCGCGCAAGCGUAGGUAAUAUAUCAAGAAAAAUCACAUAUCAAACUAAGAAAUAGAACUAGAAGAACACCCAAUGAGUAAGCAUUGAUCGAGUCGUGUAUCUAAUGCUCCAAGCACAGAAACCCUAGCAUCUGAUCACUGAACUAAGCAGUAAGGAGGAACAAAGCAGUAAUCACCAAUAGAUAUAGUAGAUCAGAGUAUCGUAUAGAACAAAACAUCAAACAUAUAGAUAUCUACGAAUCAUCAAAUCAUAGAAACCCUAACAUCAGACCAAGUAGGCAAUCAAAUAAGGUGUAAGCACAUGCGAUCGCCGGAGAGCGCGAUCAAAUCCAAACCAAUGCGACAGAAGAGACACAGGGAAGAAAAGAAUGUACUAAAAGAACACAUGUACGAAUAGUAUUAAUACGCUAGAUAGGCCACACUAUCAGGGAACGUCGGAUCCAAAGUGGAAGGGCUAGAUCUGCUUCGGAGCGCCUCAGAUCCAUCAAUGGCGGAGCGACCCGAAGAGGAUCACCGCGGCGGCGCAGAGAGCGGCGGCAGAGAGCGGCGAGGAGAGGGCGACGGCGCCGGAGGUGGGGCUCGGGGCCGGGGCGUCCGCCGCCGCGGCUCCGCCGGCGAGGGAAGCGACGGCGACCACCGCCGAGAGGAGCACGUACAGAACCCUAGAAUCGACCGCCGCCAUUCUCUUCCUCGUUUGAACGAACGGGGAGAGAGAGAUUAGGGUUAGGUUUUUGCGGAGGCGGAAGAGGCGGUUGUUAGGGUUUCUGCGGAAGAAGAAAGGGAGAGGACGGGGUCCUUUUAUAGUGGGAUCAGGAGUGGGGAGGAGGAAGUGGUGGGCGGAGCGAUUAAUUAGGAGCGAAUAAUAAUUAAAAUUAGAAAAUUCGGGCAGGAGGAUUUUGUUCGAGGGGCAGCUGCCCCUGCCCGUAAAUUAACAGGCUGGGUGAUUAUUAGUGUGACAGCUAAUUGCACGGCUAAGAGCUCGUGGGGCCCGACACGUGUACCCCACUGUUGCAAAUUUAUGGCCGCUGAUGAUUGGAGCUUUGCUAACACAACAACGUGGUGGUGAAUUAUUAUUGCAGUGAAUUUACACUUUUACCCUUAUCUCCCUGAUCAUAGUUUUGGGCUAUAUUUCUAAGGUCCCAAACCAUGUACGGGUGAAAAAAAAAAAAAUUUAUCUCUAUCAUAAGUAUCAAUAUAGACAAUAUUAUGUGGGAUCUAAAUUCUAAAGCAUUAUAUAUUCAUAGAAAAAUAUGUUUAGCAAGGGCGAGCUACAUUUAUUGAAUUUGCUUGCAUUUAAAUAGUGAAUAUGACUAAUUUAAAGGAAGCUAUCUGUCAUUAUCAAUUUUUUAUGUCUAAUUAUCACCCAUAGUAAGGAAUAGAUAUUUGAAGCUUGAUUUUUUUUCUGUUUGCUGCAAUACAAAAUAUUGAAGAUACAAACGUGUUCGAAUCAAUGUAAGAUUAGUUUAUAAAGUUUUCACCGUUGUUCAGAUAAACAGUAUAAUAUUGCGUUAUCUUAUGAAUAAAAUGGUACGAGCCAAAGAUCUUAGUAGAAGUAACAACAAAGAUCUUUUUUUGUUUUAAGCCCUUGAACUUAUCGACUAAGGGAAACAUUAAGGUAAUGGCGAAGCCACCCCAGCAAAACAUGCUAGGAUGGCAGAGGAAGGACACAAUAAUUAUAUUAAUAAACAAUGAAAGUGCCUAUAAUAAUAAUAACAGACACUAUUUCUUAAAAAAAAUAAUAAUAAUAACAGACACAAAUAAUGGAGGGGACCAAUCUGUCCAACCUUUGACAGUCUGUCCUGUGGAUAAGCUAUCAUUAAAGUGGACGAAUUAUUUAAUGAGAACCAUGGAGUUUAUCAUUAACAACGCUACAUAAUACAAUGUAUUUAUGUAAUGUAACGACAAGGAUCAAUGAUUUUAAAAACAAGUUGAUAAUGUUGUUAACAGCUAAUUUUAAUAUUGAUCACAUAUAAAUGUAAUGAAACUAACAAUAAAUUUUCAACUGAAUUUUGGUUGAAUUCAAUAAGGUUGUUAUGUAUUUUACUAACGACGCAUCCGUUGGUAUUGUAAAAGCCAAAAAAUUAAGUUCUUCCUCAAUAUUAAUUAUUAAUCAAAAAGUCGAAUCAGCAUAUGUAAAAACUUAAAACGAUAGAUGAUAGAUGAAGAACUAUUAUACUUAGAGCCUUUUUUUAAGGGCAUGUUUAGUUCAUGAUUGGAAUAGAAAUAAGAAAUGGAAUUGAAUUGCUUUAGAAUGGAAAAUAGAAUGAUGAACCAUCCAAAAAUAUUUGAUUCAUUAUUGGAAUGGAAAUCAAAAUAAAAAUUUAAAAUUUUUGAAAGAGGAUUUUGAUUAAGAGAGAGGAAAGUGAUGAAGGAAUAGGAAGUAAAUGUUGAUGUAAGAGAAUUUUGAAUAGUUUACUUUGGAAUUAGUCAAUCCGAAAUUCAAAGCCGGAUUGAAACAUAAAUGAAUUUCACCAUUUCCAUUUCGGAGUGGAAUGAAAAUCAGAAUCCGAUUCCUAUAAAACAAAAGGCAAUUAUUAGAAUCAAUAAAUUUUAUUCUGAUUCUGUAGUUUAAAAUAGAUGAACCAAACAUGUCCUAACAGUAAAAUUAAAGAUUAUGGUCCACGAGAAGAAAAGUCUGGUCCUGCCGUGCCCAUCUGUAAAGCCAAUACGAAUGCAUAGAACUGGAACUACACCACCACAUUCAACGUAAGUAGUCCUGGGUCGCUUCAUCUUCUACUCUUACGAGGUGAGGUGUGUAAAAAAGUGAAAACUAGGCAUGAUAAAUAGUUGGUGGCCGGACCGAGGGACGACAUAUUAUAUAUUCAGUGCCUGUAUUACACAUGUCCACGCCCCUCACAUUUAUCGAAUCGUUGACGCUAAUCAUUAAUUUCAAAAACUCAGAGUUAUUAAAAAUAUGCAAUCAAUUCAUUUAAAGCGUAUAGAUGCAGUGCCCACGGGUCUCGAUUGUAACUCAGUUCAUCCGGCCUCACAUCACUUCGAACAUGACUCGAUCUAUCCAGCCUCACGCCAUUUCGAACGUGACUCGGCCCAACCCGGCCUCUCGUCAUAGGACUGGAUGCUGGCCAAUUUAAGCAAACAACAUUUACUAUGCAUGAAAGAUGGAGUGGAUUCUUCCCACCCUGUACGCAACGCUAUGUGCCUGCACGUUUGGUCAUACGCGGUCGAAUUUUUUGAAAGGAAAUUUCCGACGGAUUGCUGCACCAUCUUUCUCUUCUUUUAGUACCAGCAAUAAUAAUAGUAUUUUAAUUGCCGUCCGAGUCACGCUGCCUGAAGACAACAUUGGUACUGUUUGGUUACUUUCGGAAGAGGGAAAUGCUGGGUAUUUUCCCCUUCCAGUUUCAAGGAUAGGUUGUUCAACCUAAUCAGACUAGUCUAAAACAUGAAUUACACUAGUUACGCCAGCUAACUUUGAGAUUUUUUUUACUAUUGUCUUUAUAUAUAGCUGAUGCACUGAAAACUCAUAACGUCAAAAACUUUUAAUUAGUUCAAACACACAUAUUACCAAGGGUGCCACAUGUAUUUAUGGACAAUUAGUUAGUGCAAUAUUCUAAAAAAUUCAAAGCAUUCUUGAUACUAAUACGUUAGCAUUCUAUAGAGAUAUUAUUUUGUUGAACCGUGCGAAUUAUUUUUCUCAAUGACUCGAAAUUAGGCUUGUAUAACCCAGUAGUUUAAAAGCAAGUUGAAUGAAUGGCCGCAAUUAUAACUGGAUAUACUUUUGCUAUAACUUGGCCCAUGCUAUUGUGUAUACAAACGGUGCAGAUUUAUUCGGCCACUAGCAAGUGAUGGAAUUAGCUCUCAAGCAUAGAAAUUUUUUUGUACGGAAUUAUAGACAGUGGUGGUGGGCCAGGCGCGUGCCAAAUCAAUCACUGGUCUAAUUCAAUGCAGAAAAUGACACCAGAGUAAGAAACCUUACCCUCUAAGAAACCACAAAAUUGGCUCCUGCGCUAUGUAACAAAGAGAAAUCAUCAAUAGCCUUUACCAAAGAUCGAAAGCGCAUGUGCUGGUUAAGUGGUUCGUCCAAUAACGAAUGGCCGCGCAUUACAGAAUAUAGCAUCAGCCACACCGCAAUGUUAGAUGAGAUAUCCGUGUCAAACAGCGAUGCAUCCGAUGCAUCAGUUGGACGGUGAUGUUUUAAAACUUUAUAUAUAUAUAUAUAUAUAUAUAUAUAUAUUUAGCCACUAAACGACCCUUCGGUUCGCGAUUUAAUAAAAACUUAUUAUUCUGAUGAUAGGAUUAAGUUCAGAAUUAAGAUAGAAUUAAAAUAAUUUUAUAUUUGGUUGAGAAUUAGGUUUAGCCUGGAUAUAGAUAAAAUAGUAUUUAAUUAAAGUAUAUGGAAUAGAAAAGAUAGUAAAUAAAAUAAUAUUUUAUUUGGUUAGAGUAGUAUGGUGGAGCCGAUUCUAAAUAGGCUAUUCUGGAAUAGCCCAUUGGGGGUGGGGUAAGCUAACCCCAUCCCUCAAAUUAAGUGUUUGAGAAUAUAUUCAGGAUUAAGAGGUUAUUCCACUCCUUAACUCCGAACCAAAAAGUAUUAGAAUUUUUUUUAAAGAAUAAAAAAAAAAAAGAGUGCACGGUUUCACAGUGUAACCAUCAAAAAGUAGCAAAAGAAUUCUCAAAAAAAGUGGAAAUAUAAUUAUGAUAAUAAUUAAAAUAAUUUAAAAACAGCCCACCAAAUAGAGCAAUUUAAUACACGGGAUAGCAUUCUGGUAGCUUCCGACACAAGUAAACGUCACUCAUGAUUUGUCGAGUGUUACUAAAACAGCAAUCACGCGCGUUAGAUCUACAUCAUCCGGCUCACAGGUGCCCACUCUAUCAACACACCAAGUUUACAUCGUGAAGCACAAAAUAGUUCACCACAGUAAUCACCAGUCACCAGCAUUACCAAAAAAUUUCUCAGAAUAAAAAAAGCACAAUAUAAAACAAGCACAAUAUAAAACAGGCACAAUAAUUAAGAAGGAAUCCAAACUAUACCAAUCUAUGAACCAUAAUUCGACAUAUCUACACACUCAACACGAAUCACACAUGUACGCAACUCUCAAAACCAAGGGCGAAAACAUAGAAGAGGCAUCUCUAAAGACCAGAUCUGGGAAAUGAAGCAAAAUAGACAACAAAUGAAGAUCUAAUAAUAGAAUCAUGUAAUAGGUAAAUAAUCAACAACGAAUAAGACCAGAUCGGGAGAGAUCUGGCACCGAAGCGACGUAAAUCUCUCAACGGAGAAGAGACCCGAGGAGGAGCGCGGAGGCGGAGGCGACGAAGGCGUAGGCGAGGUGCGGGGAGAGAGCUCCGGCGCCGGAGGUGGGGCUCGGGGCGGGGGCCUCCGCCGCCGAGGCUACGCCGGCGAGAGAGGCGACGCCGAUCACCGCCAUGGCGCACAUCGCACGAGCUUUGGAUCCGAGGAUCGCCAUUGUUGUGGGAUUACGAAGAGGAUAGAGAGAGAGGGAUAGGGAGUAAUAAAAGAUUUGCUAGAGUUACGAUACGUAGGAGGUUGGUUUCCGGUAGAGCGAGGGUAGGAGGAGAUAUUUAUAUAGGGGUGAAAUCUCGCGGGCAGCGGGCAGCGGGCAGCUGCCCGAGUGACAGCUUGCGCGUACGGCGGUGACAGCUGGACAGGUGGGCCAACGCCGGAUUUGCUCGUUGGUUAGUUCACACUUCACGCUUCACGCUUCACGCUUCACGCUUCACGCUUCAGGAAAAUAGUUUUUAAUUUGGGUUUUCGUUAGCUGAGUUGUCGCUUUUCUAUUGGUCGCUGGGUGUGAGAACACUUUUACCGGGGAGUUUCUCGCGUCGUGUUUUGAAUUCUCCCGUGUGGAAAAAGGAGUACGUGGCGAGCUAACAAGCACUCGCGCUUUUUUACGGCAAGUUGCACGCUUCGUACUGGUACAGCGUUCGCGUUAGCGUACGCGGUGGAAACAGAGCGCGUGUUGCGGUUCAAAUUUCACUUCAGGCGAGUCACGUAUCUCCAGUAAACAUAAAUUAUUAAUUGUUGAUAAACUAUGAUUUUUAAUACAUUCCAAUUAUAAUAUUUGAAUACUAAUAAUGCUGCAUGAUUAAGAUAAUAUUAAAAAAAAUUAAAAUAGAGCGACAUCAAAUGCCCUUUCUUAAGGAAGAAGUUAUUGUUAUGUCGACGAAUUAGGUUUUUGAUUCGAACAAAAAACUUGUUAGGGUAAGGAAUAUCUAUCUCAAUGUCUAGGGUGAUUAUUCCACACUCUCCAAUCAUACACGACAAAAAAAUCAUCAAUGCAAGCAUGCCUUAAAGAGCUUUCCACCUAACACCAUUUCC